GUGGGAGAGCCUGCUUGAGCCCCAGGAGCUGUGGCACAUGAGUCCCAUGCUAACCAGGAGUUUCUGCUCAUUUCAGUAUCAAUAUCCUGACCCAGAAACAGAGGAAAGCCCCUAAGGAGGGGAGAA
rnacentral:sRNA from 1 species